UACGUAGGGGGCAAGCGUUGUCCGGAAUCAUUGGGCGUAAAGCGCGCGUAGGCGGCCCGGUAAGUCCGUUGUGAAAGUCAAAGGCUCAACCUUUGAACGCCGAUGGAUACUGCCGGGCUAGAGUCCGGAAGAGGCGAGUGGAAUUCCUGGUGUAGCGGUGAAAUGCGUAGAUAUCGAGAGGAACACCUGAGGUGAAGACGGGUUGCUGGGCCGACACUGACGCUGAGGCGCGAAAGCCAGGGUAGCAAACGGG
rnacentral:rRNA from 1 species